AUUGAACGCUGGCGGCAUGCCUAACACAUGCAAGUCGAACGCGUGGCGGACGGGUGUAUAAUGUCUGGGACACUGCCCGAAGGAGGGGGAUAACUACUGGAAACGGUAGCUAAUACCGCAUACCAUCGGAUUUGCCCUGCUGGUAUUAUCUAGUAGGUGGGGUAACGGCUCACCUAGGCGACGUUCCCUAGCUGGUCUGAGAGGAUGACCAGCCACACUGGAACUGAGACACGGUCCAGACUCCUACGGGAGGCAGCAGUGGGGAAUAUUGCACAAUGGGCGCAAGCCUGAUGCAGCAAUGCCGCGUGAAUGAAGAAGGCUUUCGGAUUGUAAAGUACUUUCAGCGAGGAGGCGUUAUUCGCACAGGAAGCACCGGCUAACUACGUGCCAGCCGCCGCGGUAAUAC
rnacentral:rRNA from 1 species